UACGUAGGGUGCGAGCGUUAAUUGGAAUUACUGGGCGUAAAGCGUGCGCAGGCGGUUUUGUAAGCCAGAUGUGAAAGCCCCGGGCUUAACCUGGGAAUGGCAUUUGGGACUGCAAGGCUGGAGUGUGGCAGAGGAGACUGGAAUUCCUGGUGUAGCAGUGAAAUGCGUAGAUAUCAGGAGGAACACCGGUGGCGAAGGCGGGUCUCUGGGCAACAACUGACGCUGAGGAGCGAAAGCGUGGGGAGCGAACAGG
rnacentral:rRNA from 1 species